rnacentral:lncRNA from 1 species
AUAAAACAUGCAUAGUUAGUGUUUAUGAGUGGUAGCUACCAUAGCUUUGAUUAGAAGUAAUAAUAAGUAACAUUUGGCGAUUUACUUUGUGCCUCUAAUGUUGCUAAACUCUUUGCAUAUGUUAUCUUACAUACUGAGUUGUAGAUUGUUGUUAUUCAUCUUUCUCAGCAUCAGGGUCUUUUCCAGAUGAAUCGGCUCUUUGCAUCAGGUGGCCAAAGUAUUGGGGCUUCAGUUGUAGGAUUGGAGUUCAAAUCCAAGUCUGACUGCAAAGCUCAUGCUCUUAUAAAAAAUAAUUAGUAUAGAACAUCUACACUAAGUUGCUUAUUUAAAAAGUUAUUUAAUGUUAAAUUGUAUUUUCUCAAAAUUUUUGUUAUAAAAUUAAUGAUGUUUCCCUGAAGGGGAAAUGGCUGAGGUUCCUUUUAAUGUUGUAUGAUGUGCUAAUCAAAUUGACACAUAAUAAAUUUAAGUUUCUUUUAAAGGCUCUCUUGCUAGGUUGUGGUCCAGUGAAGAUACUAGGUCCAGUAGGCUUCACUUGUGCAUUAUUGUUCUCUUGCAUAUUUAAGACCUGUAACUAAUGGUAUUAUAUAACAUGAGAUUCUUAUUGAAUCUCUCAAUGAAGCUUUUUUGCAGAAAAUAAUUCCCCCUUCCCAUGGUACUAUCCUGGUAUUCCUUGAUAGUCUGAGAAAUAAUACACAAACAUCUUAAUUUUCACCUGUGCAACACAUUGUUAAAAAUUGUCCUAACUGUUCUUUAAAAUAGUUACUACUGAUACGUCUAUCAUUUCCUAG